rnacentral:misc_RNA from 1 species
UGUUCCUGUAUAGACUCACGUGCAAUUAGAGUUAUAUUGGGUCCGUCCUAGAGAACGAUUUGGAACCCCCCUCCCCGACUGUUUAUUAUUGAAGAUUAAUUAAAUUGUGAAAAUGGCGCUGUGGGGGCGCAGGUUUCUCUAUUUGAAUAGAGAUUUGACUGGAAUUUGUUCUCCCGCUUUUAGAUGCUUAUCUAACAAUUUAUCUGAGGUUGGUCGACUAGACACCCCAAAGCUUGGAGGCAACUAUGAUACUGGACAACUCUUCCUUCACAAGGUGUUUGGUUACCGUGGUGUUAUCCUAUUCCCCUGGCUUGCCCGGGUCUAUGACCGAGACCUGCCAAACAAGAAGGAAUUGGGCUUCAUCAGGGAUAAAUUACCAGAGCCAGAUCUGCCAACAUUUUCCAACAAUGUAGGAGCACCGGCUAAAGAAAUAAAAGGAAGAACACAUACUUACUACCAGGUUCUAAUUGAUGGAAGGGAUUGCCCAUAUAUUACCCACCGUGCACAAACUGAAUCAGUGACGUUCUUGGGGAACCACAGUGAAAAUACUAGGAACCUGUACGCUAUACCAGGGCUGGAUUAUGUAGCUCAUGAAGAUAUUCUACCUUACUCAACUCAGGAAACAGCUCCGUUGCAGCAUGAAUUGUUUGAUAAGUUUCUUCUUUAUGCUGAGGGACAAGAUCCUCCAUUCGUGGCUCAGGAUACCUUGAAAGCAUGGCAGGAAAAGAAUCACCCCUGGCUUGAGUUAAGUGAUGUUCACAAAGAAACGACUGAGAAUAUUAGGGUAACAGUUAUACCGUUCUAUAUGGGGUUCAGAGAGAACCAGCAGAAUAAUGUCUACUGGUGGAGAUACUGCAUCAGGUUGGAGAAUCUUGGUGAAGCUACAGUUCAACUCAGAGAAAGAAAUUGGAGAAUUUUCUCUUUAUCUGGUACACUGGAAACAGUGAGAGGGAGGGGGGUAGUUGGACAGGAACCAGUUCUAUCAAGGGAUCAGCCAGCUUUCCAAUACAGCUCUCACGUUAGUCUGCAGGCUCCCUCUGGACAUAUGUGGGGAACCUUUAGAAUGGAGAGAGAGGAUGGUUAUGCUUUCGACUGCAGGAUUCCGCCAUUCUCUUUAGACAGUAAAGUAGAAGAACCCGAGGAUCUUUUUAUCACAUAAUCAAUCAAUCAACAAAAAAGGGACAACUCACGUUUUUGACUUUAGUUACUCUCGCACAGAAAGCAAACAGGAAGAUCCAACAGAACCUCAAACAAACUCAUAAUUCAAUUGAAUUGAUUUAUCAUUUAUUAAUAAAUAACAUAUAGGACAUCAUGAAAAGAUGUUAGUUUUGAUAUUAUCUUUUAUCAAUUGGAAAAAAUGGGUCUAUUUCAAAAUAAUUUUUCUGCGAUCUUUAAAUUCAUAUCUCAAUGGCAUGGAUAUUUGUUGUUCCAUGAUCAAAGGAUAUUCCCCCCCCCCCCCCUAUAUUAUGUACCCUUUACUUUUCUCCUUAACAAAACUCGUGUCAUGACAUCCAGCAAUAUUAGAUUUAUCCUAAUUUUCUUGUUUUUCAAAUAAAUUUUUAAAGUAUGGGUAAA